rnacentral:tRNA from 1 species
GGGGAUUUAGCUCAGUGGUAGAGCGUUUGUCUAGCAAGUACAAGGCCCUGGGUUCGGUCCCCAGCUCCG